rnacentral:rRNA from 1 species
GACGAACGCUGGCGGCGUGCCUAAUACAUGCAAGUCGAGCGGAUUCAUCCUUCGGGAUGAGUUAGCGGCGGACGGGUGAGUAACACGUAGGUAACCUGCCUAUAAGAUCGGGAUAACUAUCGGAAACGAUAGCUAAGACCGGAUAACUGGUUUCUCGCAUGAGAGAAUUAUGAAACACGGAGCAAUCUGUGGCUUAUAGAUGGGCCUGCGGCGCAUUAGCUAGUUGGUAGGGUAACGGCCUACCAAGGCGACGAUGCGUAGCCGACCUGAGAGGGUGAACGGCCACACUGGGACUGAGACACGGCCCAGACUCCUACGGGUGGCAG